GGAAGAGUUAUCUUUUCUUUUUAACAGGCUGGCAACCUUGAAAUAGGAUUAUCCUGAGAUAAGGUUGUAUGCUUGGAAGAGCACCUCAACUUCCGAGGUGUCAGGUGCGUUCGCGAUGGUCCAUGAAAGACUGAGUGAGAGUAUUAUUCCACAACAGGUCGUACCCACAACCGCAUCAGGUCUCCAAGGUGAGCAGCCUCUGGCCAACUAGAAUAAUGUAGAUAAGGGAAGUCGGCAAAAUAGAUCCGUA
rnacentral:rRNA from 1 species